AUGAACGCUGGCGGCGUGCCUAAUACAUGCCAGUCGCGCGAACAGACGAGGAGCUUGCUCCUCUGACGUUAGCGGCGGACGGGUGAGUAACACGUGGAUAACCUACCUAUAAGACUGGGAUAACUUCGGGAAACCGGAGCUAAUACCGGAUAAUAUAUUGAACCGCAUGGUUCAAUAGUGAAAGACGGUUUUGCUGUCACUUAUAGAUGGAUCCGCGCCGCAUUAGCUAGUUGGUAAGGUAACGGCUUACCAAGGCAACGAUGCGUAGCCGACCUGAGAGGGUGAUCGGCCACACUGGAACUGAGACACGGUCCAGACUCCUACGGGAGGCAGCAGUAGGGAAUCUUCCGCAAUGGGCGAAAGCUUGACGGAGCAACGCCGCGUGAGUGAUGAAGGUCUUCGGAUCGUAAAACUCUGUUAUUAGGGAAGAACAAAUGUGUAAGUAACUAUGCACGUCUUGACGGUACCUAAUCAGAAAGCCACGGCUAACUACGUG
rnacentral:rRNA from 1 species